rnacentral:rRNA from 1 species
GGAUACGGGCAUACCACCCCGAACUUACCUGAGCUCUGGUCUCAGGAGUUAAAUAGGGUCUGCCUGCUUUGUAAUUGGAUGGGAGAAUACAUGGGACUAUAGGGUGCUGUAGCCU